GAUGAACGCUGGCGGCGUGCCUAAUACAUGCAAGUCGAGCGAACAGACGAGGAGCUUGCUCCUCUGACGUUAGCGGCGGACGGGUGAGUAACACGUGGAUAACCUACCUAUAAGACUGGGAUAACUUCGGGAAACCGGAGCUAAUACCGGAUAAUAUAUUGAACCGCAUGGUUCAAUAGUGAAAGACGGUUUUGCUGUCACUUAUAGAUGGAUCCGCGCCGCAUUAGCUAGUUGGUAAGGUAACGGCUUACCAAGGCAACGAUGCGUAGCCGACCUGAGAGGGUGGCCGCCCCCACUGGAACGGGGCCCCGGUCCCGCCUCCUAGGGGGGGCGCCAGAGGGGAUUCUCCGACAUGGGGGCAAGCCCUGACGGAGCACCCCGGGGGGGGUGAUGAGGGUUUCGGGUCCGAAAACCUUUUUUAUUGGGGAAAAAAAAUUGUGUAAGAACCUAUGCACGUCUUCCGGUUCCCAAACAGAAAGCCCCCGCCUAACUCCUUC
rnacentral:rRNA from 1 species